UUUGCAAAUUUUACUGUUGUUGGUUUGUAUUGUAAUGCUACUUUGUCGAGUACAAUUGGCUAAUCACCACGAUAAAAUGUUUUAUAUGUCCAUUUCAGCGCUGAACCUGUGAACAUGCUAACUGCAUCAUAGAGUGGAGCUGGAUUUCUGAUACAGAUAUUGAUUACUGAUUACAAGGCAUCUUCUACUGUACCUGAUGUAGAAAAGACCCUUGAACUACCUGCAAUUCCUUGACUGAUACUUUUUGG